CGCCUAGCCGUAAAAAAUUUACUCACAUCUAAAACGCCCGGGAAUUACGAGCGCAAGCUUAAAACCUAAAGGAUUUGACGGUGUCCCACCCACCUAGAGGAGCCUGUUCUAUAAUCGAUGAUCCACGAUAUACCUUACCACUUUUAGCUUUACAGCCUGUAUACCUCCGUCGACAGCCUACCAUUUGAGUGUAACAAAGUCAGUUCAAGGGUCCUCACACCAACACGUCAGGUCAAGGUGCAGCCUAUAAAGUGGAAGCAAUGGGCUACAGUUUCUAAUAUAGAACAAACGAAAUGAUAUAUGCAAUAUUAUCAUGAAGGCGGAUUUAGUAGUAAAAGAAGAACAGCAAGCUUCUUUUAACAUGGCCCUGGGACGUGUACACACCGCCGU
rnacentral:rRNA from 1 species